ACGGCGAGUGAAGCGGCAACAGCUCAAAUUUGAAAUCUGGCUUCGGCCCGAGUUGUAAUUUGUAGAGGAUGCUUUGGGCGCGGCUCCAACUGAGUUCCCUGGAACGGGACGCCACAGAGGGUGAGAGCCCCGUAUAGUUGGAUGCCUAGCCUGUGUAAAGCUCCUUCGACGAGUCGAGUAGUUUGGGAAUGCUGCUCUAAAUGGGAGGUAAAUUUCUUCUAAAGCUAAAUAUUGGCCAGAGACCGAUAGCGCACAAGUAGAGUGAUCGAAAGAUGAAAAGCACUUUGAAAAGAGGGUUAAAUAGCACGUGAAAUUGUUGAAAGGGAAGCGCUUGUGACCAGACUUGGGCCUGGCGGAUCAUCCGGUGUUCUCACCGGUGCACUCCGCCAGGCACAGGCCAGCAUCGGUUCUCGUGGGGGGAUAAAGGUCCCGGGAACGUAGCUCCUCCGGGAGUGUUAUAGCCCGGGGCGUAAUGCCCUCGC
rnacentral:rRNA from 1 species